AGGCACUCUCCGUGAAGCAAUGGCAUUGUUGUUCCCAGCGUGGAAAGAAGGUGGAAUUGCAAUCAUCAUUACAGCACACUGAUAAAACACAACUGUAUGUGUAAGCGGAGGAAUGGAGAAGGAAUCCAGAUAUUUUGAAAAUGUCAAGAAAACACAGCAUAGAAACAGCCCAGUCCAUCACAGGCAAAGCCCUCCCCACAUUUACAAGGAACGCCGACACAAGAAAGCACACCAUCCAGGCCAUCUUCUCUUUUUGCUACUGCCAACUGGAAGGAGGUCCAAUCAGAUGUCAGCAUGGGGCAGAGCAGGAACCAUCAACGCAAGCAGCUUUUAAUGGCACAUCCUGCAACGUUCUUCCAGCCACAGGAGAAGUUACUGCUGAAUGAUUAGAUGGCACAGUUGUGGGAAGCAGAGAGGACUCUACUCCAAUGGUGCAGCGGAACCUGGACGGGUUGCUGAAGAACGAGUUUUUGCCUGUAAGAGGAACAAUGGCAAUCCUACAUCCAAGCACUCCUGAGAGGGAGCUGUUGUGAAUCUCCCUGUAAUCCUUUU